rnacentral:rRNA from 1 species
AUGGCUUGUUCUGAUGGUGAGGCUGAGCACCAAUGGAUACAGAGUGUCAAGUCAGGAGGAGCAGUUCCUUGUCUACCGCCCGAAAACUGUCCUAAUGGUUGGGCUACUCCUCCUGGUGACACUUUUAUGGUCAGAGGCCCAGAAUAUUUUGCAACCAAGGCAAAAAUACCUGGUGGGGAGUAUCUUCUGAAGCCUCUUGGAGUUGAUUGGAUCAAAGGCCCAGUAAAAAUCUGUGAGGUCCUGAAAAACAGGAACCAUCGUGUGAGGAAAGCCAUCGAUGAGGAGGUUUCUCACGGCAAUAAACCUUUUGUCUGGGCCUUCAACUUGCAACUGCCCAGCAAGGAGAACUACAGCGCGAUAUUUUACUUUGUCUCACUGGAACCUGCACCCGAGGGCUCGCUGAUGGAUCAAUUCCUUAAAGGGGACGAUGCUCUCCGUAAAUCCAGGCUUAAACUGAUAGCAAACAUAGUUAAGGGGCCCUGGAUUGUCCGAAAAGCUGUGGGUGAACAAGCCAUCUGCAUACUUGGCAGAGCACUUUCGUGCAAGUAUGUCGAGGGAUCAAACUUCAUCGAAGUUGAUGUGGAUAUUGGGUCUUCCAUAGUUGCAAAUGCAAUUGUUCAUCUGGCAUUUGGUUACGUGGCGACACUGACUAUAGAUUUAGCAUUUGUUAUUGAGAGUCAAGCUGAAUCAGAGCUCCCCGAGAGACUUCUUGGAGCUGUAAGGUUCUCUGAGUUGAGUCCGGGAUCAGCUGGUGUGUACGAAGUGCCAUCUGAAGAGCAGCAGGAAAUUGCUCCAAUUCUGCCUUCAAGAUUAUGGCGGAGUUUUACCCAACUGCUACAGAACCCAGGCAACUCAAUGCAGCCGUCGCCUAGCUCAGAAAACACUAAUGGAAACUUUCACAAGGAAGAUGCUGGUAACAACGAUAAUUGA